AGAGUUUGAUCCGUGGCUCAGGACGAACGCUGGCGGCGUGCUUAACACAUGCAAGUCGAACGGUAAGGCCCUUCGGGGGUACACGAGUGGCGAACAGGUGAGUAACACGUGGGUGAUCUGCCCUGCACUUCGGGAUAAGCCCGGGAAACUGGGUCUAAUACCGGAUAGGACUCCUGGCUUCAUGGUUGGGGGUGUAAAGCUUUUGCGGUGUGGGAUGGGCCCGCGGCCUAUCAGCUUGUUGGUGGGGUAAUGGCCUACCAAGGCGACGACGGGUAGCCGGCCUGAGAGGGUGACCGGCCACACUGGGACUGAGAUACGGCCCAGACUCCUACGGGAGGCAGCAGUGGGGAAUAUUGCACAAUGGGCGCAAGCCUGAUGCAGCGACGCCGCGUGAGGGAUGACGGCCUUCGGGUUGUAAACCUCUUUCAAUAGGGACGAAGCGCAAGUGACGGUACCUAUAGAAGAAGGACCGGCCAACUACGUG
rnacentral:rRNA from 1 species